rnacentral:pre_miRNA from 1 species
GCUUGUGGGGGGUCCCUCGAGGCACCGCAGCGCCGUGCUGGCGAUGUUGCGGCUGCCUGGGAGUGAUUUCACCCCCUCCUC